rnacentral:rRNA from 1 species
AUUGAACGCUGGCGGCAGGCCUAACACAUGCAAGUCGAGCGGAUGAAGGGAGCUUGCUCCUGGAUUCAGCGGCGGACGGGUGAGUAAUGCCUAGGAAUCUGCCUGGUAGUGGGGGAUAACGUCCGGAAACGGGCGCUAAUACCGCAUACGUCCUGAGGGAGAAAGUGGGGGAUCUUCGGACCUCACGCUAUCAGAUGAGCCUAGGUCGGAUUAGCUAGUUGGUGGGGUAAAGGCCUACCAAGGCGACGAUCCGUAACUGGUCUGAGAGGAUGAUCAGUCACACUGGAACUGAGACACGGUCCAGACUCCUACGGGAGGCAGCAGUGGGGAAUAUUGGGCAAUGGGCGAAAGCCUGAUCCAGCCAUGCCGCGUGUGUGAAGAAGGUCUUCUGAUUGUAAAGCACUUUAAGUUGGGAGGAAGGGCAGUAAGUUAAUACCUUGCUGUUUUGACGUUACCAACAGAAUAAGCACCGGCUAACUUCGUA